rnacentral:rRNA from 1 species
AUUGAACGCUGGCGGCAUGCUUUACACAUGCAAGUCGGACGGCAGCACAGAGAAGCUUGCUUCUUGGGUGGCGAGUGGCGAACGGGUGAGUAACAUAUCGGAACGUACCGAGCAGUGGGGGAUAACUAAUCGAAAGAUUAGCUAAUACCGCAUAUUUUCUGAGGAAGAAAGCAGGGGACCAUUUGGCCUGCGCUGUUUGAGCGGCCGAUAUCUGAUUAGCUAGUUGGUGGGGUAAAGGCCUACCAAGGCGACGAUCAGUAGCGGGUCUGAGAGGAUGAUCCGCCACACUGGGACUGAGACACGGCCCAGACUCCUACGGGAGGCAGCAGUGGGGAAUUUUGGACAAUGGGCGCAAGCCUGAUCCAGCCAUGCCGCGUGUCUGAAGAAGGCCUUCGGGUUGUAAAGGACUUUUGUCAGGGAAGAAAAGGGCGGGGUUAAUACCCCUGUCUGAUGACGGACCUGAAGAAAGCCC